GGAAUAAAAGUCGUAACAAGGUUUCCGUAGGUGAACCUGCGGAAGGAUCAUUAUUGUAUAAUCGAGGUGCGAGGGCUGUCGCUGACCCGAAAGGUCGUGCACGCCCGAGUGCCCUCACACACAUCCAUCUCACCCCUAUGUGCACCACCGCGUGGGUCCCCCUUUGGCUUGUUCGGAGGGGGGCUUACGUUUUCACACAAACUUUGUAUGCAGUGUAGAAUGUAUUUUUUGUUUUUGCGAUCACGCAAUCAAUACAACUUUCAACAACGGAUCUCUUGGCUCUC
rnacentral:misc_RNA from 1 species